AUCAGCUGAUGGGAUAAAGUCAGGAAAAACCAAGAAUUACAUCACUCACAAUUCAUACUGAAGCACAUGCAGGUUUAAGAGGCAGGGAAAUAGUCACCUCUACAACAGGUGACUGUUUACCCAGCCCUUUGCCAUUAUAGGUAUUUAUUUAUAUAAAAGGUAUUUCAUGAUAAUAAACAUUCAAGAAGUAUGCAAUAUAUAUCAUUUUUUGCAAGAUUAUUUUGUGUAAUGUUAUUACUAAACUACUAUAUGAGUGUAUGCUGUGAAUAAUAAAUAUUGUAUAAAAUAAUCUAUGUCGUUACUUGAGAACACUAUUGUCUAGACACAUUUUGAGUCUGAAUGCCGACCCUUUAAUUUACAGUGUCCAAAUGUCUAAUUGAGAAACGGCUGGUAAACAAAGAAUAGGUAAUUUUAUUCACCAGUCCCUUCAAUUAUCCUCCAGGCUAGCACUUAAAAGAUAAUAUGAUCAAUGUGGUAAAACAGUAUACUGCAUGACAGCGGUCCGCUUGACAAAGUUACAACCUAGUGAAACAGUCACUCGGUGGUGUGAAGGCAUCAUUACAAGACUAGCUCAACACUUCAAUUAAAAGUCGCCGUUCUCGAUUCAACAAAGAAACACGAACCAAGCUAUUUUUUAUUUUUAUUUUUAAAUGCAAUGCUGCACAAUAAAACACGCACACAAAUUGGAUGCUACAGGUUGUUUCUGAAAGCGCUCCGGUUCUGACAACUGAGGUUUACAUGUCGGACACAUGAGGACAGGUUGGAUACGUGUCAUUCACAUCAGCCUGGCUUCACGUUACAACUUUAGGUAAACACGGAGAACAGGACAGGUAACAAACGGUGACUACCACUAGAGUCCGGGCAGCUAACGUUAGCUUAGCAUGCCAACAUUAGCUGGAUCUGAUGUGAAGCUUGAUUUUGAUAUUAAACGUGUCUGCGUGUAACACACACCCGUGUCUUAAUUCACAAGACACACUCAUAUCAAUCUUCAGGCAGAAAUACACACUAACAGCAUUGACCGGACACGAAGAGUCAAAUCUGCUAGUUAGCCAACAAGCUAUCAAAGCUAAAAACACAAAUUAGUAGGCGGUAGCUAACCAGGAAACGGAAACAUCAGCAAAUGGUAACACUAUAAAGGUCUACUUUCAGUUUAGUUUUAUUUAUACAAAUACAAGCGUAAUCAUAACAUGUCACUAUUUAUUCAUCGGCCCCAGUCGUGGGAUUUUUGUGUGUAUAAAACUUCUACAUUUAUGACCAAAUACUUCCAAACAAAGGGUCUAACGUUACAUACAAGGCUUAAGGCCUGUGUCCGAAGGCCUCCCUAAUAAUCGAUAUGAAUUAUAGCCACUAUCGUUACAUAGUGUGAAAUUAGCAGGCUACUAGACUCAAAACUGUCAUCACUGCAUAACUCCCCACAGGUAUUUAAGACACGGAGUCACCUGGUCAGAUCACAAGUUAUAAAAUAAAUGAGUCAUUAAUCAGAGGCCUCUUAGCUUCGAUAGCACACCGGUCUUUAGUUGAACGCCUGGCCGACUCAAGCCUACGCAAAACGGCACACUCAGAAAUCGAGACCGAGGCUGCAUACGCUUUCGCUUACCUUGAAUUGGUAUGGGCUGUGUAAGGUAUUCGCUCCAGAUAGACGGCCGAAAUGUCUAUUAGAAUCAGCUAGGCUAUUUGUGCAUCGAUAUUCGAGAUAGGAUGGUAACAGUGAUCUUCAUCGAGCUCGGUAUAUCUUGAAAUAAGGAUGCAUGUAAAUAUAGGCUAUCCAGAGCAAAUUACAAGCAGUAGGUAGGCUGCUGAGGAUUUUUGUUGGAUCCACAGCAGACUCCUCACAGCACCACUACAGGCACUGCGGGGACAUGACAACAAUCCGCUCAACAACAACAACCUCUCCAACCAUAUUGGAAAUUCAACUUUGUUAAAAGCCCCUACAGUGUUCAAGUGUCAUGUUAAUCUUUUUAUUGAACAAAUUGCAGUUUGUGUGCCGGACUUUGCCGUUACAUUUUUCACAUUUAAAACAGCUGAGAGUUAUAUCAUAUUGACUGAGAGGUCCAGCAAAGUGUUAGAGUGUGAAAUCCACCUGGACCACGGCUGUCGUCUUCCAUAUGAAUGAGUUACCACCAGCCCUGCUGCCACACUGUUGCCGGCUGUUCACUGAUGAUGGACCACGUGCCAAGCAGACACAGGAGCUGGAAAAGUUGACUGGAUAUCAAACCAGAAACAGUACCACGCAUGGUACCAGCACAUAUUUGGAGCAUUAACAUUAUUAUUAUUAUUUUUUUUUAAAUAAGAGCAUAAACUUAAAUAGUCAGCUUUGCAAAAAUUAAUUAGGCUUGCUACAGAAAACUGGUUUAUUAAAUAUCACACAAAUAC